CAGUAGCCGCGGGAAUACGUAGGGUGCGAGCGUUAAUCGGAAUUACUGGGCGUAAAGCGUGCGCAGGCGGUUAUAUAAGACAGAUGUGAAAUCUUCGGGCUCAACUCGAAGUCUGUAUGAGAAACUGCCGGGCUUGAGUAUGGGAGAGGUGAGUGGAAUUUCCGGUGUAGCGGUGAAAUGCGUAGAUAUCGGAAGGAACACCUGUGGCGAAAGCGGCUCACUGGACCACAACUGACGCUGAUGCACGAAAGCUAGGGGAGCAAACAGGAUUAGAUACCCGAGUAGUCCCUGUCUCUUAUAC
rnacentral:rRNA from 1 species